AGACAAGCAUAUGACUACUGGCAGGAUCAACCAGGUAGCAUUCCUCACCGACGCCGAACGCCGCAUGAACCGAGCCGCAAGACCCGACCAAAACGGGAACGAACGUCGUCCGCGUGAAGCGUAGAACGCUUAUAUAUUCGGGGCAAAUAGAGGUCGAGGACCUCGUACCGCGUCGGUGUUCCGCAUCCGAGAGAUCGAGCAAAGCGCCAUGUGCCGACGGCCUAAAUGCGCAUGGAAACGCACGGGUCGCGGAGCACGGCGAGUGCUUCGGUGCCCACCCCGCGCCGCAGCCCCGAGAGGCGCAACACAAGGAGGGAACGGGACAUUUUGUCUGUACAAUGCCUUCUCGAUAGGUAUACAGCACAGGAAACCAUCGUCGGGCAAGGCGAAGUCGCAACUUGAACCAACAACUGAAGAGGCGCGCACGAGAUGCCGUCGCUGCACGAGCAGGGAACCGACAUGCCCUUACGAGCCAAUCACCACUCACACGCCCAU
rnacentral:misc_RNA from 1 species